UGCCUGGCGGCACUAGCGCGGUGGUCCCACCUGACCCCAUGCCGAACUCAGAAGUGAAACGCCGUAGCGCCGAUGGUAGUGUGGGGUCUCCCCAUGCGAGAGUAGGGAACUGCCAGGCA
rnacentral:rRNA from 1 species